rnacentral:rRNA from 1 species
AUUGAACGCUGGCGGCAGGCCUAACACAUGCAAGUCGAGCGAGCGGCGGACGGGUGAGUAAUGUCUGGGAAACUGCCUGAUGUAGGGGGAUAACUACUGGAAACGGUAGCUAAUACCGCAUACCAUCAGAUGUGCCCAGGUGGGAUUAUCUAGUAGGUGGGGUAACGGCUCCCCUAGUCGACGAUCCCUAGCUGGUCUGAGAGGAUGACCAGCCACACUGGAACUUAGACACGGUCCAGACUCCUACGGGAGGCAGCAGUGGGGAAUAUUGCACAAUGGGCGCAAGCCUGAUGCAUCCAUGCCGCGUGUGUGAAGAAGGCCUUCGGGUUGUAAAGCACUUUCAGCGGUGAGGCGUUACCCGCAGAAGAAGCACCGGCUAACUCCGUGCCAGCAGCCGCGGUAAUUC